rnacentral:rRNA from 1 species
UACGGAGGGUGCAAGCGUUGUCCGGAAUCAUUGGGCGUAAAGCGCGUGUAGGCGGCCCGGUAAGUCCGCUGUGAAAGUCCAGGGCUCAACCCUGGGAUGCCGGUGGAUACUGUCGGGCUCGAGUCCGGAAGAGGCGAGUGGAAUUCCUGGUGUAGCGGUGAAAUGCGCAGAUAUCGGGAGGAACACCGGUGGCGAAGGCGGUUCUCUGGGCCGUGACCUGACGCUGAGGAGCGAAAGCGUGGGGAGCGAACAGG